rnacentral:tRNA from 1 species
CAUUGCCGGUGGCUUCUCGUUUGACUUCAAUCCUGUCGUGGAGGGGGAGAGGAACGGUGGGGGUUCG